GACGAACGCUGGCGGCGUGCCUAACACAUGCAAGUCGAGCGAAUGAAGUUCCUUCGGGAAUGGAUUUAGCGGCGGACGGGUGAGUAACACGUGGGCAACCUGCCUCCUAGAGGGGAAUAGCCUCCCGAAAGGGAGAUUAAUACCCCAUAAGAUUGUAGUACCGCAUGAUACAGCAAUUAAAGGAGCAAUCCGCUAUGAGAUGGGCCCGCGGCGCAUUAGCUAGUUGGUGAGGUAAUGGCUCACCAAGGCGACGAUGCGUAGCCGACCUGAGAGGGUGAUCGGCCACAUUGGGACUGAGACACGGCCCAGACUCCUACGGGAAGAAGCAGUGGGGAAUAUUGCACAAUGGGGGAAACCCUGAUGCAGCAACGCCGCGUGAGUGAUGACGGCCUUCGGGUUGUAAAGCUCUGUCUUCAGGGACGAUAAUGACGGUACCUGAGGAGGAAGCCACGGCUAACUACGUG
rnacentral:rRNA from 1 species